rnacentral:rRNA from 1 species
AGGUGACUCAGCAGCCGCGGUAAUUUUUAGGGUGCAAGCGUUAAUCGGAAUUACUGGGCGUAAAGCGUGCGCAGGCGGUUUUGUAAGACAGUGGUGAAAUCCCCGGGCUCAACCUGGGAACUGCCUUUGUGACUGCAAGGCUGGAGUGCGGCAGAGGGGGAUGGAAUUCCGCGUGUAGCAGUGAAAUGCGUAGAUAUGCGGAGGAACACCGAUGGCGAAGGCAAUCCCCUGGGCCUGCACUGACGCUCAUGCACGAAAGCGUGGGGAGCAAACAGGAUUAGAUACCCUGGUAGUCCACGCCCUAAACGAUGUC